rnacentral:rRNA from 1 species
UGAGGAAUAUUGGGCAAUGGAGGCAACUCUGACCCAGCCAUGCCGCGUGCAGGAAGACGGUCCUAUGGAUUGUAAACUGCUUUUAUACGGGAAGAAACACCCCCUCGUGAGGGGGCUUGACGGUACCGUAAGAAUAAGGAUCGGCUAACUCCGUGCCAGCAGCCGCGGUAAUACGGAGGAUCCAAGCGUUAUCCGGAAUCAUUGGGUUUAAAGGGUCCGUAGGCGGCCUUAUAAGUCAGUGGUGAAAUCUCCUAGCUCAACUAGGAAACUGCCAUUGAUACUGUAGGGCUUGAAUUAUUAUGAAGUAACUAGAAUAUGUAGUGUAGCGGUGAAAUGCUUAGAUAUUACAUGGAAUACCAAUUGCGAAGGCAGGUUACUACUUGUGGAUUGACGCUGAUGGACGAAAGCGUGGGGAGCGAACAGG